AUACGUAGGUGACAAGCGUUAUCCGGAUUUACUGGGCGUAAAGGGCGUGUAGGCGGUCUUGCAAGUCAGAAGUGAAAUUCCUGAGCUCAACUCGGGCGCUGCUUCUGAAACUGCAGGACUUGAGUGCUGGAGGGGAUAGCGGAAUUCCUAGUGGAGCGGUAAAAUGCGCAGAUAUUAGGAAGAACACCGGUGGCGAAGGCGGCUAUCUGGACAGUAACUGACGCUGAGGCGCGAAAGCGUGGGGAGCAAACAGGAUUAGAUACCCUAGUAGUCCACGCUGUAAACGAUGACAACUAAAUAUUGCCGCGAGGCAGUGUUGAAGCUAACGCAUUAAGUUGUCCGCCUGGGGAGUACGGUCGCAAGACUGAAACUCAAAGGAAUUGACGGGG
rnacentral:rRNA from 1 species